rnacentral:rRNA from 1 species
AAUAUUGCGCAAUGGAGGGAACUCUGACGCAGCGACGCCGCGUGAGCGAUGAAGGUCUUCGGAUCGUAAAGCUCUGUCCUUGGGGAAGAAGGGAGCCGUAAGGCUUCUUGACGGUACCCAUGGAGGAAGCCCCGGCUAACUACGUGCCAGCAGCCGCGGUAAUACGUAGGGGGCAAGCGUUGUCCGGAAUUAUUGGGCGUAAAGGGUGCGUAGGCGGCCCUUUAAGUCAGAUGUGAAAGCCCACGGCUUAACCGUGGGACUGCAUUUGAAACUGGAGGGCUUGAGUGUCGGAGAGGGCAGUGGAAUUCCCAGUGUAGCGGUGGAAUGCGUAGAUAUAGGAAGGAACACCAGUGGCGAAGGCGACUACCUGGACUGAUACUGACGCUCAUGCACGAAAGCGUGGGGAGCAAACA